GUUUUUUAAAUUAAAACGAUUGUAUCCGCUAGUUAUUCCGCACAAACAACAUUGCUCAUUUACAUUGUAAAUGAGCAUUCUAAAAUCAAAUUGAACUAUACUGGCCACCAUACAUUGUGCAAGGCCAACACGCUAAUUGAUUGUGACUUCAUCGUUUGUCAUUUUGACGGGAUGUCAUUCUUCUAUCCGUGUUGCAAGUGGAGGUGUAAUUAUAAACACGGAUAUGAUGGGACUACUCAGCACAGAAAGUCAAAGACACAUCAACCGUUUUCAAGUUCAAAUGCCAACAUCCCUGGUAGAUCGGUGUUGGCUUACGGAAUACUGACUGGCCCUCUACAGUCUUCAACACGUACGUCCUGCUUAUGCUGCAGCCCAACGAAAAAGAAGCAGUGUCUGAGCGAGAGAGGCCUGGCUCGAGAGGGACGUGGUGAGCCGGGGAGGGAAGGCGAGUUAGUGAGAGAGCGAGGGAACGGCACAUGAAAGAGCAGGUUUGUAGCUCUCCCCUUCGGCGCCAGAUGCUUCUCGUACCGGGCCCUUUUCAAGUGUGAGUGCCUGAGAGCCUUCCAGCCAGCGCCAGGCGAGAGCCCUCACAGCUGCAGGGCUGCUGGAAAGGUGACUCAAUCAAUAGACCCUCAGCGCCUUCAAGCUGCUAAUGUGAUUGUGGUUAACAACAACGUAGCCCCUCAGCGACUGAGACGCGCAAACCUUCACGUUUUACUGUAACUUCGCCGGCAAAUGGAAACCAGGGAGGAAAACAAGCGUUGUGAAGCCAAUGGCUUUGUUUCUUUGGCAGAGCCGGUGUUGAAUAUUGAUGCAUUUGACGUGUGAUCUGGUUGAUUACAAUAUCCUUCAGGAACAAAUUGACAGAUGUAAAUAUUUAUUGAAACAUAAUUACGCAGGUGAUUGAUGUUUCUUAUCUCUACUUGGAUUUCAUUAAGGAUCUAUUGCUAUUUACACUGAGAAUGUACUAUUCUUGAAAACAUAAUGAAUAUUACUAUAUAUAUUAGUGUUUGCGACAUGCUUUAGCUUAUGAACAUAAAUAUUUCACAGUUAGCUUCAUGCCAUAUUUUCAUGGCUCCAUCUGAAUUGAUUGACAGUAGUUUUACCUUACUCAAAACGUUUGAUUAAAUUUAGAAGUUGCUGUGAAGAUCCGGAUGAAUAUAAAAACAACAAUCAUUUUGAAAAUGGUCCAUCUUAGCAUACUCCAUAGUACACUUCAAACUGCUAACCAAGCUUCAUCCAGAACAAUUGGUGGAAUGCCGACGUGGACAAAUAAACCAAAACCUCCCCCCCUUUAUUAAACUUGACCCAAAGAGAACUUUCCAGAAAUAAACUGCUGUCUAACACAUCUCUGGGGUUACAUAACUCCAGUUUUCUGACCAAGCUGUCAGGGUUGUAGGAGAGGUUCCAACAUCAGCUCCUUAACUUGUGCUGAAUUCAGUGUUUGGUCACUCUGGCCAGACCCCCGUUUACUGUUGACGUGGCAAAUCUGAAGUUUCUCUGGAGUUGACAAAAGCUGACUGUUCCAUCGGAACCAUCCUAUCUCAGGGGGGAUAAGCAGAGAUCCGUGACUCGCUUUGGUGGCAGCCAGCUGGAACAUCAGACUUUCAGUGACACCCAGUAGACAGCCAUAAUCCGUAACUUCUUUUAAACUAUGUUGGGAAAGUUUAGGACCUGUCCGUUCAAGUCGUCCUAGUGAUUGAGAGUGACACGGAUGAUGGGUUUCUGCUUCAGCUAGGCCCUUGUUUUUCGGACAGUUUUUCCAUUAAAAAUGACAAUGAACAAAGUAGUAAUGGACAAAUUAUGAAGGGUUGUGUGUAUCCAGAUUGGCUCCCUACUUGUAUUAUGUCGGCAAUGCUAUCGUACCAAAAAAAUAA
ensembl:lncRNA